GUUUCAGCAGCCGCGGUAAUACGUAGGGGCCUAGCGUUGUCCGGAAUCAUUGGGCGUAAAGAGCGCGUAGGCGGCCCGGUAAGUCCGCUGUAAAAGUCAAAGGCUCAACCUUUGAAUGUCAGUGGAUACUGCCGGGCUAGAGUCCGGAAGAGGCGAGUGGAAUUCCUGGUGUAGCGGUGGAAUGCGCAGAUAUCAGGAGGAACACCAACGGCGAAGGCAGCUCGCUAGGACGGUACUGACGCUGAGGCGCGAAAGCGUGGGGAGCGAACAGGAUUAGAAACCCGAGUAGUCC
rnacentral:rRNA from 1 species